rnacentral:rRNA from 1 species
CCUACGGGAUGCAGCAGUGGGGAAUAUUGGACAAUGGGGGGAACCCUGAUCCAGCGACGCCGCGUGAGUGAAGAAGUAUUUCGGUAUGUAAAGCUCUAUCAGCAGGGAAGAAAGAAAUUACGGUACCUGACUAAGAAGCCCCGGCUAACUACGUGCCAGCAUCCGCGGUAAUACGUAGGGGGCAAGCGUUAUCAGGAUUUACUGGGUGUAAAGGGAGCGUAGACGGCGAUGCAAGUCUGAAGUGAAAGGCGGGGGGCCAACCCCUGGAUUGCUUUGGAAACUGGAUGGCUGGAGUGCAGGAGAGGUAGGUGGAAUUCCUAGUGUAGCGGUGAAAUGCGUAGAUAUUAGGAGGAACACCAGUGGCGAAGGCGGCUUACUGGACUGUAACUGACGUUGAGGCUCGAAAGCGUGGGGAGCAAACAGGAUUAGAUACCCGAGUAGUC